rnacentral:rRNA from 1 species
UACGUAGGGUGCAAGCGUUGUCCGGAAUUAUUGGGCGUAAAGAGCUUGUAGGCGGUUUGUCGCGUCUGCUGUGAAAACUCGAGGCUCAACCUCGAGAUGUCGGCGGAAACCAUCUGGCUAGAGUCCGGAAGAGGAGAGUGGAAUUCCUGGUGUAGCGGUGAAAUGCGCAGAUAUCAGGAAGAACACCCGUGGCGAAGGCGGCUCUCUGGGACGGUACUGACGCUGAGACGCGAAAGCGUGGGGAGCGAACAGG